AAGCCCCGAGAGUCCCAAGCUUAUCCCUCCCCAAAACCCCACGCUCAGUUCCGGCUCGCCGUCUCCUCUUCCCCGCUCCUCUCGGGCCGGCGGGGCACUUCCUUGUUCGCCAUCACUUCGCGACCCCGAAAUGGCGUCUUGCCCUCUGUUCCUCCUUGUCCCGCACCCCCCUCCCCCGCUCGUCGCCAUCCCGCGCCGUCACUCGCCCCUCCCACACAUCCUAACCAGCUGCCGCAGCCCCCUUCUCAGCCGCCAGCAGAGCUUCCGCUGCCGCUGCUCCUCCUCAUCCUCGUCUUCCUCCUCCUCCGGCCCUCGUGAGCGUUCGCCUAGGCCUCAGCAGCAGCAGGGGUGUACGCAGCAGCGGCCCGGCCGCGGCAGCGCUGUGGACCCCGUGGGCUUCCUUGCCAAGAUUGGCGUCUCCGACCGCGCAUUCGCCCAGUUCCUUCGCGACCGGCACAAGGCUUUCAAGGACCGCAAAUGGGAGAUGCACUCUCGGUUUAUUGAUUUGAAGGAGGCGUCCUCUGGAUUUGAUUUACUGGGCCUGCACCGACAUCGGCAGCACCGUGUGGAUUUCAUGGAUUGGGCACCAGGUGCUCGGUAUUGUUCUCUGGUUGGUGAUUUCAAUCAGUGGUCAGCAACUGAAAACUGUGCAAGAGAAGGUCAUUUGGGACAUGAUGAUUUUGGAUAUUGGUUUGUCAUACUUGAAGAUAAGCUCCGAGAAGGGCAAGAAGCAGAUGAAUAUUUUUUCCAAGAGUACAAUUAUGUGGAUGAUUAUGAUAAAGGAGACAAUGGUGUCAAUGCUGAAGAUUUAAUCCGUAGAAUGAAUGAAGAGUAUUGGGAACCCGGAGAAGUUAAGUCACGGAGGUCUCGGUUGGAGACGGUCGCAAAGCUGUACGAGCAGAUGUUUGGCCCAAAUGGUCCGCAGACAGAAGAGGAACUAGGUGAAAUUCCUGAUGCAGAGACAAGAUAUAAGAACUGGAAAGCCACACAAAAGGAUGAUUUGUCAAGUUCGUCGCCUUCCUACGAUAUCAUUGACACUGGACAGGAUUUUGACAUUUUUAAUGUUGUAACUGACCGAGCAUCAUUUGAGAAGUUUCAAGCAAAGGCAACCCCCCUUGCCUACUGGGUUGAAAUGAGGAAAGGAAGAAAAGCCUGGAUAGAGAAAUAUGUUCCCGCGAUUUCUCAUAAAGACAAGUACAGGGUUUAUUUUAAUACUCCUGAUGGUGCAUUAGAACGUGUACCUGCUUGGGCAACUUACGUACUUCCAGAUGCAGAAGGGAUGCAAUCCUAUGCAGUACAUUGGGAGCCUCCUCCGGAAGAAAUUUACAAAUGGAGAUUUCAACGACCGAAAAUCAAAGGUUCACUUAGGAUAUAUGAAUGUCAUGUUGGAAUAAGUGGAUCUGAGCAAAAAAUAUCAUCGUUUCAGGAGUUCAUGUCCAGUGUCCUACCUCAUAUAAAAGAAGCUGGAUAUAAUGCUAUUCAAUUAAUUGGAGUCCCAGAGCACAAGGAUUACUCCUCUGUUGGCUAUAAGGUCACAAAUUAUUUUGCAGUCAGUAGCAGAUUUGGGACCCCAGAUGACUUCAAGAAAUUAGUGGAUGAGGCACACGGUCUUGGGUUACUGGUGCUUCUUGAUAUUGUCCACUCCUAUGCAUCGGCAGACGAAUUGGUUGGCCUAUCCCUUUACGAUGGAUCUAACGAUUGCUACUUCCACAGCGGAAAAAGAGGGCAUCACAAAUACUGGGGCACCAGAAUGUUCAAAUAUGAUGAUGUUGAUGUUCUGCACUUCUUAUUGUCUAAUUUAAAUUGGUGGGUCACUGAAUACCAGAUUGAUGGAUUCCAGUUUCACUCACUCUCAUCAAUGUUAUAUACUCACAAUGGUUUUUCUACCUUUACUGGUGCCAUAGAAGAGUAUUGCAAUCAAUACGUGGACAAGGAUGCGCUGAUAUAUCUAAUUCUAGCAAAUGAGAUGUUACAUGAGCUCCAUCCAGAUAUUAUAACAAUAGCAGAGGAUGCAACAUAUUAUCCUGGGUUAUGUGAGCCAACCACUCAAGGUGGAUUAGGAUUCGACUACUGGACCAAUCUGUCUAUUCCAGACAUGUGGCUGUGGCAUCUUGAAAAUGUUCCAGAGCGGGAAUGGAGCAUGAGCAAGAUUAUGAAAGUAUUAAUAAGCAGCAACCACAAUAUGCUGUCUUAUGUUGAGAAUCAUAACCAGUCAAUAUCAGGACGGAAGUCUUUUGCUGAGAUAGUUCUUAAUACAGGAAUGAGCUCUAGUGGUUCGGUGGAUGAUGAUUUGAUUUUCAGAGCGUCCUCGUUGCUCAAAAUAAUCAAACUAAUUACUUUUACAACAAGUGGAGGCGCAUAUCUUAACUUCAUGGGUAAUGAAUUUGCACAUCCAAAGAGAGUUGAGUUUCCUAUGUCAAGCAAUGAUUAUUCCUUCCACCUAGCUUAUCGGCAGUGGGAACUAUUGGACAAGGGUGUUCAUAAAAAUGUAUUCAAUUUUGACAAGGAUAUAAUGACCUUGGAUGAAAAUGAAAGGAUCAUUUCAAGAGGUUCACUCAAUAUUCAUCACUGUGAUGAUACAAACAUGGUCAUAUCUUUCACGAGAGGACCUUUCCUUUUUGUAUUUAACUUCAAUCCAGAUGUCCCCUAUCAACUGUAUCGUAUUGGUGUGGAUGAAGCUGGGGAAUAUCAACUUAUCUUAAACACGGAUGAAACUAAAUAUGGUGGUUGCGGGGAGCUCAACAGUAGUCAGUAUAUGAAAAGGACCAAUGACAAAAGGGUUGAUGGUUGUCGAAACUCCUUGGAAUUGACAUUAGCAUCUAGAAGUGCUCAGGUAUACAAGUUGGUCCGAAUUUUGAGAAUUUAGUCUGUCAACAAUAAUUACUGUUGAUAGACUAAGUAAUCGUUGUCCUUAGAAGCUGGACCAUCAAUGCCAAUGUCCAUACUCACGCAAGUUGAAAAUUUGAAUGGUGAAACUGAGGUAAAGGAAAAGCUAGACUAGGAUGUCAUGGCACGUGGAAUCUCAGCUACACUACACAGUGACCUCUCGUGAUGCCUUGUCUGGAUUAUGAAAUCAUCUCGUUCCAGAUAGAGGUGAACUCCCGGAGGUACAACACGUGCAUGCAGGCUGCUCGAUUGAUGAUUAGCGGUUCAGAUCGAGCAUAGCGGGAUAUAGCAUAAAUAUAUAGGAUCCAAAACCCAACAAAAUUAGGUUUCGGUUGACUAGGAUUUGUUCGGAUCCACAAAAGGCUAAUGUUUAUUCAUUUGUGACUCUUCUUUACCAUCGUCAUGUAUGUGACAUCUACUGCUCCUCUGUUCCAUAUUAAUUGGCUUGUAUUAAGUGCCUGCUCGGUA